rnacentral:lncRNA from 13 species
CCCCCCCCACUAAACAAUUAUUUAUAUUAUUACACAUUAAAGGGGUAAAACACAAAUAUUAGGCCUACUGUUGGCCUACAAAUCUUUAAAUAAAUACAUUGUUCCAUAUGCUUUGGAUUUAGUCUUUCUGUUAUCUACUAUGCCUACUAAUCAUUCAUAUGAUCCAGUACAAUACGGUUUUCUACUUGCAUUUGAAUGCAAAAAUCAAUAUCAGGCUUUCAUCUGAAUUCAUGACCUACUGUUUAAUGACAUGGUGUGUGUGUGGGUGAUUGCAUUUAUCUUUCAUGUACGUGACAAGGCCAGUCAGCCAGGUCUGGUUCGCUGGAACUGCACAUUUCAUUUGAAUCUAAACCAACAAUUCUACAGUUAUUGAUUAGUGAUUCAAAGGAACCUUCUUUUGUUAUGUGAAAUUCCCUUCUGUGUAAUUCCAAAGAAUGUCUGUGUUUUACAACAGUAAUAUUGUGACAUGAUAUCUUUGGCCUCCUGGGUUGUUGACGCUGAUCCUCAGUCAUUUGAACGUGUUAAUGUCAUGUGUUUACAUACAAAUAAAUCUUUCAAAUCCAAACAAACCUGAUUUCAUGACCUACUGAAAAGUGAAAACGAGAUGAAUGCCAACAAAUCCAGAUUCUUCCCCUCUCUCUAUGACCAGUCCAACGCAUGCGGGGAUAUUUGGACCUCCAUUUUGCAGGACCAUAAUCAUUGCAAUGCGCAGCAGAAGCAGCAGCAGCCUGUUAGAGACACGGAGCGGUGGCCUGACACGGGCAUCCUACUGGUGAACAACUACCAACCUCUGGAGGUGUUUAGUCCUCCGACCGGUAUCCAUGUAGCCAGGAGGAGCGAAAUGGACGAAGUCAACGAGCUGGCUAUCCUGAUGAUGGAGUUGGAGUUGGGAGAGCAGAUGGGAGAGCCUUUAGAUCACGGGAGAUAUUACUUCCUAAACAACCUUCAUACAUCUGUCAUCCAACAACUGAGAAGAGAAGGAUUCAAAUCAGGGAAAAAACUAUAA